UUCCUGGACUCAAGUGAUCCCGCCUUGGCCUCCCAAAGUGCUGGGAUUACAGGCAUGAGCCACCAUGCUUGGGCCAGAAUCUCUUGAGUGUCAUGUCACAGAGGCCAACGGAGUAGGGUCAAGAAUGAGAGAUGCAAGGAAACUUGCAGAAGGGAAUCAGCUCAUGGUGCAGGGGGAGGAGCUUCCCAAAGCAAGACAGAGGCAGGACCACCACUCUUGGGAUUUUUCAGUAUUCACUUACCUCAGCACUGGGACGGCCGCAGUGCAGUGGCACGAGCUCCACUCAUUGCAACCU